UAAUACGUAGGGGGCAAGCGUUGUCCGGAUUCAUUGGGCGUAAAGGGCGCGUAGGCGGUUACGCAAGUCGGAUGUGAAAACUCCAGGCUCAACCUGGAGACGCCACCCGAUACUGCGUUGACUUGAGUUCGGUAGGGGAUCACGGAAUCUCUGGUGUAGCGGUGAAAUGCGCAGAUAUCAGAGGGAACACCGGUGGCGAAGGCGGUGAUCUGGGCCGACACUGACGCUGAUGCGCGAAAGCGUGGGGAGCGAACAGGAUUAGAUACCCUGGUAGUCCACGCCGUAAACGUUGGGCACUAGGUGUGGGGCCUUAUCAACGGGCUCCGUGCCGUAGCUAACGCAUUAAGUGCCCCGCCUGGGGAGUACGGUCGCAAGACUA
rnacentral:rRNA from 1 species